UACGUAGGGUGCGAGCGUUGUCCGGAAUUAUUGGGCGUAAAGAGCUUGUAGGCGGUCUGUCGCGUCUGCUGUGAAAAUCCGGGGCUCAACCCCGGACUUGCAGUGGGUACGGGCAGACUAGAGUGUGGUAGGGGAGACUGGAAUUCCUGGUGUAGCGGUGAAAUGCGCAGAUAUCAGGAGGAACACCGGUGGCGAAGGCGGAUCUCUGGGACGUGACUGACGCUGAGACGCGAAAGCCAGGGGAGCGAACGGG
rnacentral:rRNA from 1 species